UACGUAGGGUGCGAGCGUUGUCCGGAAUUAUUGGGCGUAAAGAGCUUGUAGGCGGUUUGUCGCGUCUGCUGUGAAAAUCCGGGGCUCAACUCCGGAUCUGCGGUGGGUACGGGCAGGACUAGAGUGAUGUAGGGGAGACUGGAAUUCCUGGUGUAGCGGUGAAAUGCGCAGAUAUCAGGAGGAACACCGAUGGCGAAGGCAGGUCUCUGGGCAUUAACUGACGCUGAGGAGCGAAAGCAUGGGGAGCGAACAGG
rnacentral:rRNA from 1 species